GUCACAGACAUUCAGAUCAUGGCAGAACUGUCACAGAUGUUACUUUGUGAAAACACAAAGAAUAAUGUGUUUGGAGAGAUCAGUCUUCAAUUAGCUAUAUUUUCUAGGAGCCUACCUUUACUUAGCCUCACAACAUGGGCCUUAGCUUUAGCACUUAAUCUGCACAAAUACCUGGCUUAAGUGUUAUGACUGACUGGCUAUUCAACCAAACCAUACAAAUGACCAAUUCGGUAAGAAAGCAUGAACUUCAGUGUUGAACCAAAUCAACCAACCUCCUCAAUCCAAAUGAACAAUGCUAUUCUAGGAGUCUGUGCUAGAAUAAAAUCCUAAUGCAAAGGCUGUCUUAAAAUGCUGAACCCAGAAGAAUUUGGCAUAAAUAAGACAUGGAGUUAGCUGACAUGAGAUAUUACAUUUAUUCCACUGUUGACGAGGACAAAACUGGGCCGCUAUUGUCACAGGAGAGGAUAACAAAGGAAGCUGAGGAAGUCUGUUCUGGAGGCACCAUGACAAAGCACCAGACAGAAAGCAGUCACGUGUGGGGAGAUGAGCAGAGACACCACUUCUCAAGCACCUGAUUAUUCUUUCUCAGUAUUUAGAAGCAAAAAUUAUCCUUAAGAAAAACAACCGCAAACGCAACACAGGCUACACAGAUGAGAAAAUGGGCUCAUGAAACACUGCACUAAACAGUCACAGGACCAAGAUAUAGAUUCCUAUUUCCAGGCUUGCAGAGCUCAAACCAUUACACCAUUCAGAAGCUGGCUUUGGUAUUACUUCAAGUUAUUCAAAACAGUCACCACUUGCUGAGCCUCUGAUGUCUCAUCUGUUGAAUGGGUUCCCCAUCUUCGUUGAAGGCCCCACAUCAUUUGCCAUGAACUUGCAGAAUAUUUCAAGAGAGAAGGCUGAAAAGGAAGGUGACUGGAAUAUUAAGAACUGUGAGAUAUUCUGAGGAAACUCUAAUUUGUAAAUUGGUAGAAAUGCCAGUAAUUUGUUGGGAAUUGAAGACCCUCUGUAUUCAAGAGCGAAGCUUGGCAGCUGUGCACUGUUGUUUUAUAAAUCAAUAUUACAUCUGAAGGUGGUGUUUGAAUGUUUGUGUCAUUGGGGUUUGUCUCCAACAUAGUCCUGUGACAAGAAAUGUUCAAACAAAACAAACACAAUCCCUUCCCUGUCCUUUAGGAUAAAGUCCAAACGUAAUUCCACAACAGGGAUAUAACAUUCAAAUCAACUACAGAACUUCUGUAAUUAUAUAAAACCCCACGACCACAGAAAUGCAAUUGAAUUGAAGACACUUUGCAAUAUUCCCCAAGAAAGGACUGUGUGGCUGUCAGAUUAACAAAAGUCAAGAGGUGGUGAGACAAUGCUCACCAUUGCAAAAAAGAGCUUUGUGCAUAAUG
rnacentral:lncRNA from 1 species